GCCUUUUGUUGCCGCCCACAGACAGCUGCUUCUCCAAGGGAGACUAUUGUGGGAUAGCUGGCGUCCUACAAGAAAGUCCGUGAAGAGAGGGUGACGAUACUUUCCAAAUGUCUGGCGACUCCAUCCCUCCCUUUUCUGCAAUCGUCACGUAGGGAAGGCAAAAAGGGGACAAACCUGCCCAAAUACUCCUGCCACUUGUUGCUCAGGAUCCCUUCGCCUGCUUCCACAUGGCUCUCAAGGAGGCAAAACCGAUCGCCAGCAUGUGACAUGCUUGUAGGAUCUUCUCUCACCUCCCCUAUUUCUGAAGCAGAAUCCGGUUAAUGUCAGUUUGGGGUAUGCAGGAAAAGGCCACGGGCUCAGAUGAGGACAAGGCCCCUGCUGGAGCACAGUCAUGUUGACAGGCCAAUGAUGAUCCGUCAUCCUCCUUGUGUUUACACGAGGGAUUAAAUAAAUAAACAGACUGUCCAGCUGCUGUCUGCUUUCCAGAUUCAGAAUGACGGUCCAGAACAGCCAGGCUCUGACCCUAGCUAGCAUCCUGUGUCGCGGUGAACUGCGGGGUCAUUUGGAUGCCCGUGUUGUUUCUAAUAACUCCGUGAGCAGCACUGCAGGACAUACCACAUACCUUCUUCUACCAGCCACCAAGAACAACCAGCACCUCCAUUCGAAACGCUUGUCUCCCCUGGUGUGUUUUCUAAAGAAGUUCUAAAGGAAUAGAAGAACGUGAGACAGGUUCACAGAUAGGACGCAGCACAGGAGAAAGGCACGCGAGGUGUCCUGGCUGAAACAGCCCCUCCGUUUACGGAUAUUGUGACUUUGAGCUGCAAAUUACAUGCAAGCAUACAUUUCACCUUUCCUAAAGCAACCCCACCACAGAGAAGGGGGAGUGUAGCCUAGAGCAGUGGUUCUCAUGGUAGGGUCCCCAUUAACAUCACCUGGGAGCUUGUUAGAAAUGCAAAUCCUCAGACUUAUGAAUCAGAGACUUUAGAAGAAGGGCCCAGAAAUGUGUGUUUUAAACAGCCCUCCAGACAAUUCUGACCCACCUAAAGUUUGCAAACUACUGGCCUAGAAAGAGGACAGCACACAGCACAUAUCAUCAAACUGCCACGUGCAAACAGCUCUGCUGACCUCAGACAAGCCAUUCCGUCCUUAAACCUCCAUUCCCACCUGGGAAACAGGCAGUGACAAUCAUGCUGGGGGACUAGUUAGUGAAUGUAUUCGGCCUAUUAAUCACAGUAUAGGAUCAGCUAAUAGAAAAUACUCAAUAAAUAUUAGUUAUCAUUGUUUUUACUCUUCUGAAAACACUAGGACUGGAAUAAAGUAUUUGCUCAACAAAUGAAAUGAACAAAUGAAUCCAGGAAUGAAUGACAGGAUUAUAGAUGGUCAGCUUGCAUCAAGAAGGAAAAUGCUAAUGGAAAUAAACUAGAUCUCUGCUUUUUAAAACACAGAUUAGAAAAAUAAAGGUACUCUUCUCUGAGAUCUUGUGAACAUUGCAAGCAUUUAACCAAUGAUAGGGUAGGAAUGAAAUAAAGGAAGGAAGAACAGAGCAAAGGGAGUGAGUGGAAAGGAUAGGAAUUGAAAUUAUUUGUUUUCUGCAUUGCAUUUUAAACACAGACCCUUGACUUGGAGUAUUUCUUUCCUCCAGGUAGUCUACCUAGAGCCGUGCCCCAAUGCCCUUAGGGUCUUUCUUCUCUUUUCCUUUACCCUUUCCUCUUCAGUUUAAGGCACUUUUUUCCUGAUUAAGAGCUACUUUGUUUCCCCAAAUUCUAAUGCUUGCAGGGGAGCAGUGCUGGAGUGGAGGAAUUGAGGAGGGGUUCUGAGAGAGCCACAGAAGGAGCUAAAGGGAGGUGGAGCCAGGGCUGUUGAGGGCGAGCUCAGAAAACACAGGCUCAUGGGAUCAUCACAGGGAGCAUCCGCUCACAGGACCGUCACAGGGAGCAUCCGCUCACAGGACCGUCACAGGGAGCACCCGCUCAGGGAAUCACCACAGGUAGCAUCUGCUCACGGGAUCAUCACAGGGAGUAUCUGAUCAUGGCUUCAGAACGCAGAGUCACCACACCAAACCCAGGUUCGAAGUUAGUUCAGGUGAGGAAAUAAAAGCUACUAACUGGAAGUCUCUGCAAAAACCAGCUGAAUCUGACAACUCUGCUGCCUUCACUUUGCCAUGAGAAAAAUCCUCAGUGACUUGAAAAAUUGAGAAAGGAUUUUCCCCUAGACAUGAAAUCCUGAAUCAACUGACGAACCCAAAUGGAGGCCAAGGGAGACUACCCCUCUAUCAUUCAAGCCAAGAGUGUAUUUCUUCUGCUGGACACGACUGCCAAAUUCUUCAGCAAUGAGGAAGCUGUGUGAUGUUAAAAGGUAGAUCUUCGAAUGAGUUUAGCUGGCCAUGUCUUCAUUUUUCUAUCCAAAUCAGGUCCAUCUGAGAGACGGAGGAACAACCAAAGAAACGAGCUUAGACUAAUUUGAGGUAAAGACGUUUCUUGUAAGUCAGAGCAUCACUCUGAAGGAAGACCCACAGGUUUGACCUAAAGCUUAGCUUAUCUUAAUGACAGAGUUGCCUGCUCUCAACAGGAUAUGUACAGCAGUGUCUCAUGGUGAAGACCUGUACCCACUGUCCCGCCUUCCCAACCCUCCCCUGAGACUGGCUUCUUCAAAGAAAGCACCAUGUGACCAUAUUUCCAGUCAGACUAUAAACUGCCUUCAAGUUAGGUUAAUCCAUAAUCGACAGAGGGCGCUGUCUGUCCUGAGUGGGAGGUGUCUUACUGAGCUCCUCCCACCUGGUCACUGCCAUUUUCCAGCCUGGGAAACUAUUUGACCUGACAACUCUUCGUGAAAGAGAUUUCUGCUCUUCUCUCUCCAAAGUCAUUUCUCUCCAUCUGGCCCCAGUGAGCAACAUAUAUCCUUUCAGCCUCCCCUUCCCACCAUCCAAGACCACUUUCUCCAUAGAAAGGGAGUUCCAACCAAGAACUCUGAUAGACCCAAAGCUGAGGGUGCUGAGGGUGCUCAGUAAACGGCCGAGGGUUGUUUUUGUCCCCAGAGCACAAAUCACUUCUACUGAAUGGAAACCCUUUUCUCCUUUUUGAAAUCGCUUCGUUCUGAACUCCGAUCCUCCUCUUUCUGGUCUUCACGGUUCUGUCUCCACGUCAGGCCUGUUCUACAUAGAAAAUCACCCUCUGCCUCCCCAAAGAAGUCAUCAGACACAAGAAAGUGCAGUGAGACUGAGCCGAGCAACGAAUCUCUUCUAAUAGUUAUCACUGAAUAACAAGCAAGUGAAAACUCUAAAACCAAAAUGACCAAAUACAUGAGUAAGACGUAAGUAUCCAUGUUCACCUGAUAAAGCCAGCCUCUGUGACAGAACUCUUUCCCAGAGCUCCUGCCACACGCGUCUGUGCUCGCCUUCGCCUCCCUGCUCCUUUCACCAUUGACCACAGGCAACAGAAAGCAGAUGCCAUGUUCCACCUGAGAGCAACAGUCUCACACGUGACAAAUUCAUUUCACAAAGAUCUGACUGAUAUUCAGAAAGUUAUGCAUUGAUCAGGCCAGGAAGAAUCAAUGAUUGUACUCAAGCCAUAGAAAUAAGCGAUGCUGGGGUAGGAUGAAGCCUACUGAAACCUUCUCCCAUCUUCUUGUGGUCUUUCGAGGAGUUAUUUAAUAUCUCUUGCUAAGUGCAAUGAUAAUUGAGGAAUAUAAAAUUUGCUCCAUAAAUGGAAUGUUGCCAGGUCAACCAUAAGAACCUCCAUCUCUGAGAAAAUAUCUCCUGUGCCUUCAUUUGUCAUUGUCAUUUACUGAAACAAUAAAAGCAGCAAAAUAGUAAUCUGCAGCUGUGUGGACAGUGAAUGAAAACACGAGCUCAGGAGUCCAGUAGAGCUGUUUGAAUCUUGGCUCCACCGCUUAGCAUGUGGUUCCACUUCUCCGAGCCUUAGUUUUCUUAACCUGGAAAAUGGGGAAACCACCUUAUUUCCUUCAAAGGGUCCUUGUGAAGAUUAAAGAAGGCAUUGUGCAUGUGGCACAAUUCCUGGACCAGCGAGUGUUUAUAUGGAAUUGGCUGUCUUUACAGUUUCACAAAGAACUGGCACCUAGGCCAUCCCAUUUGAUCCAGACAGCACCAAGAUGAGGCUGGCGAGGCAAGCAUUGUCGUCACCCCGUUUUACAAAUUAAAAUGAAAAGUGGGUCAGAUCGAUGAACUGACUUGCAUUUGCUCACAUGGCACGUGGUCCGGGGUUCCUGACUCCAAAACAGAUGCUCCUUGACUACACUUGUACACUCUUGUGUUAAUAUAAAUUUCCUUUGUGACUCACAUCAAAUUAUUUUAUGUGAUUCUAACCGCAAUCACACGAAGCAGGUGGGGCAGACAUUAUAUUUUGCAAUUUGACAAAUGGGAAAACAAGUUAGGGAGCAAAAGGUCCGCCGGGGCGCCCCCCUCUCCGCGGGUCCUCCUGGCGCUGAGGCAGCGCCCGGGAGAGAAGAAACCAGCCCCCCUCAAACUGCCGGAGAUCUAGCGUUUCAUUAGUCCUCUGCUCUAAACACUUUGAGAAAUGAACUGUUUUCAAUCUACAGAAGGCCCUUCCGCAUAUCAUUUCAAGAGCGUUUAACCUUGCAGAAGUUUUUAAAGAGCGAUUUCUAAUCCAAGGUGGGAAAGAUCAACUACCUAAUAAACCUGUGUCGCCCGAGGUCCCACCUGAUCGCCUGCUCCCUGUGCAGCCCCUGGAGCUGAGGGCGGAGGAGGUGGGGGGCGGGCACAGGGAGGACGGGCGUCCGCAGUCACCUCGCGGUCACCUGGCCCCGAGAGCCACCUGGGCUGGGCGGGCGCGGGACCGGGCCUGGGUGGCCUCCCGGCCCUGGGCGCCGGUGUUCCCGGGAGGCGCCGCCCGCUCAGGUGUCCCCUGAUGGCCAUUUGCGGACGGGAGCGGGCACUUGUUCCCUGGCCGCGCCCAGGGAGCGGAGACGCAGCGGCGCUGCGGGGGCGCUGGUAAUUUUGUAACCAGCAAAUGAAAGGGCAGAGGAAAAUCCCCAGGAAACCUUUCAUUCUGAGGUAUCUCUAAUUUGUGCAAUUAUGUAAAUACGUUACGCAGCUCUCCUUAGAUCCUGCGCUGCCACGGGGAUGGCGGAGCUAAAGCUGCCCGGCGGAGCUAAAGCUGCCCGGCGGGGCCGCCUCGGACUCUCUGCUGCGGGUUUAGUCAGAAGGUGGAGGGGUCAGAGGACAGGGCUUCGUUCACUUCAAGUAUUUCAUAGUUUUAAAAUCUUUUAUUUGUGCUCCAUUUUCUAAAUCUGUGACUGAAGCGAAAUGAGACUUGAGUUCUGUACUACCGUCCAGUUUUACAAUAAACUUUAUACAGACUGACAGUCCCUAAAUAGAGCUAUUUCUGUGCACCAAGCAAGAUCAAAGGAGACCGGCGGAUGAUCUGAGGAUGCGGGGGAGGAGAGGCCGGCCCGGCGCUGGGGGAGGCGACUGGCAGGGUGGCAGUGCCCGGCCCAGUGGGAACCAUAUGGACCGGUGCUCCCAUUUCUCCAAUGAUUGUGGUCACUUCCCAUCGCCAUGAGUCACCACAGACAGCACUGUGAUGAAGCUGAUCCUGACAGGGAAGCGGAGGGACAGAUGAGCCUGGCUUCUUCAUGUCAUCGCUCAGCCACUGAAGAUGCUGCGCCUUGAGCUAGCUCUACCUGUGGAGUCUCAGUCAUUUGACAUAAUAAAUUUUCCUUUGUUUAAGUCAGGUUAGGCCAAGGGUUUCUAUCACUUGCAGCCAAAAGCAUUCCCCAACAUACUAAAGGAAAAAGGAGUGGAAACAAAGAAAGGCAAGAGACUGUCACAUUUGUCCAAGCCAUAAAAAAGAGAAAACAAAAGGCAAAAGAGAGAGAGAGAGACCUAACUAGGACAACUGUCAGUGACAAUGGGAGAGGGCGAAAGAGCCAGCACCUAGUAGGUGCCAAUUCUACAUGUUGCGUAAGUGAUAAAUACAGAUGACCACCCCACCAGUGCAGAUAAAGGCCAGAACAAUGGGUAGAAAUCAUCACGUUGUCAAAAUACUCAGAUAAACCAUGACAAAACCACUUGUUUCAGAGGUCAGAUGCAAAGAUGCCAUAAAUAAGAUAAGCCACCAAUUUCAAGACAGCUACAUGAUUUCAGGUCCUUCUAAAUGCUGUCUUACUUCUGCAGAUAUAUUAUUGUCAGCACCGGGAGACAUGUGGCCUCCCUCUCAUUCUAAUUACUCUGUCACUAAAUAGUCCGAUGGCACAUGGUGCUUGAUGCCACAUGUGCAUUGCUUAUAUGUCACUUGAAUAUGAUUUUCUAUAAACAACGGCCACACAUUUCACAUUUGAAGUCCUCUAAGGGUGCAUUUUUUUUAAAUAAAACUUGUGCUAAAUCUUUUUUAAAAUUUUUUGUUAAAGUGAAGAAUUCUCCUAUAAAGCAAAUAAUCACAUUCUUCAUACAUGUGUUCAGAUUUAUAAAUUUUUGGUUUUGCCUACAAAAUUUAUUAAAACAGCGUCACUUUACAAAUUCAAUCUCUUGAAAUUACAUUAUUCAGUCAACAAAUAUUUAUUGUUUAUGUGAUAUUUUAAGAUACUUUUCCCGGUACUUUAAGGUCAAAAAGUCCCCAUAUAUUUUUUCAGCAGUCUAGUUAAAAGAGUACAACAAAUAAGCUUUACUAGAAACCAAAGAAACAUGAUAAGUAAAAAAUGCGUUACAAGAUAUAUAGAGCACAAAAUCUCUAGGAGUUGAUAGCAGGCAGAGGUCACAUGGGAAGAAGAUAAUCAAAUCCAGCAGGUACUAUGGAUUGUCUUGCCCAAUUCUCUUUCCAAUGCCUUCUAGAACACCACUAUCAAAGCUUCAGUUUGCGUUGCUCAGAUGCCUUUGCAGCUGUGGGUUCUGGCAAUGGUCUAGGUGUUGUCAAAGAGCUGCACCAGCUUGCUCAGUCUGCCCCGUGAAGGAGCAGUCAUACACUCAACUGCACCAUUCUUGCUGACGCAGUGGCAUAAGCGUGGGCUUCUGGGGUAACACAAGUUGAGGUUCUCGGAUCCUUUCCCUCGUAUCACAGGUGCUAAGUAGAAUGAGGCUGUGGCAGUGAGGUUUUCACUACGUUCCUACAUCUCCUGACUGCUGUGGUUACUAGCUGUGUAGCAUCCAGACCUGGUUGCCUAACCCUCCUGGGGAUUCUGUAAGCUAAUUAAGACUCACUAGUAAAUCUCUUUCUGCUUAGCGGGCAUCUCAGACCCUGACACAUGAAGUCAAGGAAGACUUUGAAGAAAAUGAGGAAUUUGGGUUGAGCAUUUGAAAGCUGGGGAGAGUUUGAACAACGGACAAAGAGAGAAGAGAAAAUUCCAGCUGAUUGGAGACCAAAAAAAAGCUGAGGGAAAAAAAGACGUGGAAAAUAGAGUAGUCAAUGAGACUGGAGUAGAGGGCUCAUACUGAGGAGCAGCAGAAACAAGAUGGAAGGAGGGGUCAAGCUUACAUUGACUUCUAGACACUUACCCAACAGAAACUAACAUGGGCUGCUGGUUCUCACCCUAAAUCCACCACAAAAGGUACCGAAGAAAAGGUGGAUAUGAUGUACAAUCAUCAAACUAGAGAACAAAAUUGAUCUAUGACUGGGAAGUGUUAAAGGAGGAAAACAUAGAUGAUAAAUACAAAAUGUGAAUAAAGGAAAAGUCCUAAUCAAACUCUAUAGCUCAGAGACAUCAUAGCAUAAUGCUUAAAAAUGUGAAGCCAGGACUGAUUCUCGGAGCUUCUAUCCUGCCUUUGGUUCCACCAUUUACUUGUUGCACAACCUUGAGCCUAAUUGUGCCCGUUUCCUCACUUGUAAAGAGAAUAUAUUUCAUCUACCUCCUCAGGUUAAUGUGAGGAUUAAGUGUGUUCAUCUAUGUGAAGACCUUGGAACCACGCCUGGUGUGAAGUAAGCACUACGCGAUGUUUAUUGUUACAACUAACACAGAAGGUUUGUUCACCUCACCAGUCAGAAGAACAUGUUGCUCAAAUUGGAUUAAAGAGACAAGACAAUCGUAUUCUCCACUUAAAACUUAAGAUACAAAGGUUGAAAAUAGAGAGAUGAAAAAUAAGAAUCAGAUGCAUAUGUACUAAACUGUGAUACCAACUUUAAUCUUGGACAAAAGACAAUUCAAGGUGAAAAAAUCAUCAUAAGGGAAAACUAUAUAAACUAGAGAGAGAGAGAAAGAGAGAGAGAGAGAGAGAAUGGAAUAUACUCUCUUAAAGGAAAAACUCAAAAUGUUUUAAUAAUCACGAAUGUAUAUGCAACUGACAAUAUAGCUUAUCAAAGAGAUUUAGCACACUGCUCUCAGAAAGUGAUAAAUCACACUGUCAAAAAUGAGCAUGCAUAGAUCUAAAUAGCAUGACUAAAUAAGCUUGAAAUAUUAGAUAUAUGCAGAACCUUACACCCACUAAACAUAAAAAUAUAAUUUUUUUCAAGCACACGUAAUAUUUACAAAACCUGACCAGGUACAGACCACAAGGUAAUCCUUAAUAAAUUAUAGAAAAAAAUAUAGUAUCAUAUGGACUAUGCUUCCUUAUCACAAUGAAGUAGAAGUGGAAAUCAUUAACAAAAAUGUUAGCUAAAAAAAGUCCUUAUGUCCAAAAUGUACAUAUGUACAAAAACAAUACUAAAUAGAUCUUAUUUGAAGAAGAAAUUAUACAAAUUUUGAAAAACUCAAAACCGAACAAUAAAAAUACUUCAUGUCAAUAUGUAUGUGAUAAAACAAAUGUCAUACUCAAAAGGAAGUUUAUCAUUCCAAACAUAUUUGUCAGAAAACAAGAGAAAUCAAAAUAAGUUAGCUAAGUGUCCUGAGAGCAUCCAUACAUGUGGGUCUUAUUUGUACUGAAAGCUUUUCUCUGCGGCUUUGAUUCAAUGCAGGGAGAUUUAAGGAGACAUACAACCUUCUUAAUUUCUCCUUAUCGAAGAUCUCAAUUUGUGUUCUUCUAGGGACUGGCAGCAUCAUGUUCCUAGGAAUAUUUAUCUUCCAUCAUUCGAUCAAGCCUCAGUAAUAUGACUAAUUUCUCUGGCAUCCCGCUCACAUCCAGCAACAAAGCGCCAAGCUCCAAGACUCAGUACCAGCUCCUCAGCUGCCACUUGCCAAGCUCCUUAGGAUUCUCGCCCCCCAGGCGUCUGUGCCAGAACCUUCAUGAUUACCCGACUCCCUUCUUCCCAGGCAGCCCCAGAUGGCAAGACCUACACAGACUUGUCAGGUGUUUCUAUUCUCCUGGUCCAAAAUCUUUUCAUUUCCCCUCAUUCUUUUCCAAAUGUUGAU